AGGACAGUGUUGCUGUGGUGAUCCAUGUGUUGAAUAAAGCAGAAAAGACCGGAGUUUCUGUGCUGGAGUUUCUUAACUCAGUUUCUGAGUUAAGAUCUGAUGUGUAGCAUGACUUUUUCCAGUUGGCAACAAUGUUGUCAAACGACUCUGUGAGGAGGGCAAAAAAAGAAAAAAGCAGCUUAGAUCAGGCUGUGGGACCUCUGAUUUCCUGACACUUUUCAAGAGUCGGUUUUCAUCUUUGUAGGGAGGCCACCAGGAGAAGCCAUCCUUAU